CUGCAAAGCGGCCGCUGCGGCAGGCUCCCGGUCGGCCGGAGGCGAGGCGAGGCGAGGCGAAGGCGGGCCGGGGCAGCCCCGGGGAGCUCCCCGGGAGCUGACAGAAGGGAAGCGGGGACGGAGCGGGCACCCCCCCGACUCGGCAGAGCCCCCCCCCCCGCAGAGGCCGCGCUGAGGGUGCGGUUGUCCGUUCCUCCCCCGGGGCUGCCACGGACUGCGCCCGCCUCGGGCUUGCGUGGGCUGUCUCUGCCUGGCCUCCCGCUCCUCGUGGUGGGGAGCACAGAGGGACCGGCGGAGCGCUUGCUGGCUGUGGGCAGGAGCUGCUGCAGCUGAAGCUGGAGAGGCCAGAGAAAGGUAGAGCUGCUGAGGAAUAAAAUACACGGGAUCCAGCCUGCAGCUGCAGACAGGAGACUGCCUGCCUCUCCAGGUGAGGAAGGAUCCCUCUUAGCGUACUCCUCAGCAGAUCUGAUCACCAACGUGCACGGCAGGGUCUGUACGCAUAAACAAAAGCACAGUACAGCCAUGUCGUGUGUGCACACGUGAGGCUGUGUUUCCAGGAAGCCUCAUAUUGUACGAGCUCUAAGACACCAAUCUAUUCUCUUAGGUGGAUGACAGUCAAGUGACCGGAGCUACACAGGAGGAAGGGAGAGGGAGAGAGAGAGACAGAUGUGUCUGAACUGUCAAAUUCCCCCAGCAGCUCCAAGAGUGGGAGAAGCUGUGAUAGAGACAAUGUGAGUGUGAAGCAGCCCUGUAGACACCAAAGUCAGUGAAGAAGGAGACGGAGGAGGCGAUCCAGGUGCCAAAGCAGAGAUUCCCCUACAGCCCAUGGUGAAGACCAUGGUGACACAGGCUGUCCCCCUGCAGCCCAUGGAGGUCCAUGGCGGAGCAGAUAUUCACCCUGCAGCCGAUGGAGGACCCCACGCUAGAGCAGGCAGAUGUACCUGAAGGAGGCUGUGACGCUGUGGAGAGGAGCCCACACUGGAGCAGGCUUUCUAGCAGGACCUGCAGCCCCAUGGGAGUGACCCCACACUGGAACAGAAGAAGAGUGUGAAGGAGGAAGGAGCAGCAGAGACAACUUGUGAUGAACUGACUGCACCCCCCCGCUCCCUCUCCCCCUGUGCUGCUCAGCAGGAGAAGGUAGAGAAGUCAGGAGUGAAGAUGAGUCCAGGAAAAAAAGAGAGGGGUGAGGGGAAGGUGUUUUUCAGGUUUGUUCAUAUUUCUCAUUAUCGUACUCUGAUUUUGAUUGACAAUAAAUUAAUUUCCCCAA